GUGCUUGCUUUGGCAGCACCUCUAUUAAAAUUGGAAUGAUACAGAGAAGAUUAGCAUUGCCCCUGCUCAAGUAUGACAUGCAAAUUCAUGAAGCACUCCAUACUUGG